rnacentral:rRNA from 1 species
AGAGUUUGAUCCUGGCUCAGGAUGAACGCUAGCGGCAGGCCUAAUACAUGCAAGUCGAACGGUAAGCGCCCUUCGGGGGUGCGAGAGUGGCGCACGGGUGCGUAACGCGUAUGCAACCAACCCCGUCCGGGGGACAGCCGGUGGAAACGCCGGGUAAUACCCCAUGCCGACGUGCCGGGACAUCCCGGUGCGUUGAAAGGCUUCGGUCGGACGGGACGGGCAUGCGUCCCAUUAGGUAGUUGCGGGGUGACGGGCCCACCCAAGCCCGCGAUGGGUAGGGGAUCUGAGAGGACGGUCCCCACACUGGUACUGAGACACGGACCAGACUCCUACGGGAGGCAGCAGUAAGGAAUAUUGGGCAAUGGGGGAACCCUGACCCAGCCAUGCCGCGUGAGGGAAGUAGGCCCUACGGGUCGUGAACCUCUUUUGCCGGGGGACAACGGCGGCGUCGGGAACGUCGCGUGCGGGUACCCGGCGAAUAAGCAUCGGCUAACUCCGUGCC